UACGAAGGGUGCAAACGUUGCUCGGAAUUAUUGGGCGUAAAGCGCACGUAGGCGGCUCUGUAAGUCGGAUGUGAAAUCCCUCGGCUUAACCAAGGAAGUGCAUCCGAAACUGCAAGGCUUGAGUACUUAAGAGGAUCGCGGAAUUCCCGGUGUAGAGGUGAAAUUCGUAGAUAUCGGGAGGAACACCAGUGGCGAAAGCGGCUCACUGGACCACAACUGACGCUGAGGCGCGAAAGCUAGGGGAGCAAACAGG
rnacentral:rRNA from 1 species